UCGUAAAAGGUCUGGUGCACC
rnacentral:misc_RNA from 1 species